AAGCAGAGAUUAAACCUCGUACCUUUUGCAUCAUGACUUAGCUAGCACCCCCAAGCAAAGAGCAUCUUUAGUUUGGCACCCCGAAACUAGUGUGAGCUACUCCAAGACAGCCUAUUCAAUAGGGCAAACCCGUCUCUGUGGCAAAAGAGUGGGAAGAGCUUUGAGUAGAGGUGACAGACCUACCGAACCUAGUUAUAGCUGGUUGCCUGAGAACUGGAUAGAAGUUCAGCCUCCCGGCUUCUCCAUUCAUAUACUAUUCCAAUAUGACUGCCCCCAGAUCUAAAAGAAACCCGCGAGAGUUAUUCUAAGGAGGUACAGCUCCUUUGAACCAAAAUACAAUUUUAUAAGGAGGGUAAAGAUCAUAAUCUUAACCAAGGCAGAAUGUCCUAGUGGGCCUAAAAGCAGCCACCCCUUUCAGAAAGCGUUAAAGCUCAGACAUACCUCUCCGCCCUAUAUCCCGAUAAUCUAAUCUUAACCCCCUAGCCCUAUCAGGCCGUUCCAUGCAAACAUGGAAGCGAUAAUGCUAACAUGAGUAACAAGAGGAUUUAUUUUAUCUGCGCUCCUCUCCCAGCACACGUGUACAUCGAAACGGACCAACCACCGAAACUUAACGGCCCCAAACAAAGAGGGAAUUGAAAGACAAACAUGAUAUACUAGAAAAUCAUCCAGCACGCAACCGUUAACCCCACACUGGUGUGCCAUUAAAGGAAAGACUAAAAGAAAAAGAAGGAACUCGGCAAACACAAGCCUCGCCUGUUUACCAAAAACAUCGCCUCUUGUACAACCACAUUAAAACAAAUAAGAGGUCCCGCCUGCCCAGUGACAACUGGUUCAACGGCCGCGGUAUUUUGACCGUGCAAAGGUAGCGUAAUCACUUGUCUUUUAAAUGAAGACCUGUAUGAAUGGCAUCACGAGGGCUUAGCUGUCUCCUUUUUCUAAGUCAGUGAAAUUGAUCUCCCCGUGCAGAAGCGGGGAUAAAAACAUAAGACGAGAAGACCCUAUGGAGCUUUAGACACCAGAAUAGCACAUGUUAAGACACCCUGAAUAAAGAACUGAACUUAAUGGCCCCCCUAUUCCAAUGUCUUCGGUUGGGGCGACCAUGAGGAACAAAAACCCCUCAUGUGGAAUGGGAGUACCACAACCCACACACUAUUUUUCCUAUACUCCUACAACCAAGAGCUACAACUCAAACUGACAGAAAUUCUGACCAACAAUGAUCCGGCAAUGCUGAUCAACGGACCAAGUUACCCUAGGGAUAACAGCGCAAUCCCCUUUUAGAGCCCAUAUCGACAAGGGGGUUUACGACCUCGAUGUUGGAUCAGGACAUCCUAAUGGUGCAGCCG
rnacentral:rRNA from 1 species